GGGUGGCUUUCUUGGUUCACUUUCAUCUUUCUCGGCAACCCAACUCGGUUCUAUAGCGAUUGAAUGUGCCCUUAAGAGGGCAAAUGUUGAUCCGUCUCUUGUGCAAGAGGUAUUCUUCGGAAAUGUUCUCAGUGCAAAUUUAGGGCAAGCUCCUGCUAGGCAGGCUGCUUUGGGUGCUGGUAUACUAAACUCUGUUAUUUGCACCACUAUUAAUAAAGUCUGCGCAUCCGGCAUGAAAGCUACAAUGAUUGCAGCGCACACGAUCCAG
rnacentral:misc_RNA from 1 species